UAAAUUAUGAUGAUUAACACAAUAGUCUGAAAUCUAUGAAGACUUAUUAUAACGAGCUUUUUAAUUCUGAUUCCU